AUUCUUGUUGCACAAUGCACAUCCGACAUAUACUAAGGCCCGUGGGACUGUUCAUGAGGGAGAGAAAAGACGAUUUUGCCCUUUGUUUUCCAUGAAUUAAGGGAUGCCACUGUUAAUCUGGAUUAGAAGUUCGGUUGUGUUGUUUUAGGCAACAGAAGGGAUUCCGCUGCGAAAAGAAGAGGAUUUGGUUCCGAUAAUACAGAUUAAAGUCUAAUUGACAUUCUUUCUGGGUUUCUGUAUUUGAUCGGUCAAGGAUUAAAGCUUUGUUUAGACGGGGCGAAACAAUUAAAGUCUCCCAUGAUAGCCCAACAAUUUGAAGCCGGAGGUGAAUGAGAGCUUUCCAUUUGGGCGAUUGCUACCGAAACCCCAGAAUUUCGAAGAUCUGUGUUCGAGGUAGCUGAGAGCUUGGAGCUGGUAAGAAGGAAAUUAAUUGUUGUUUGAUAAAGACUGAAAGCAUUUCUUGCUUGGGCAUUUAAUUGAAGAAAGGAACCAAGUAUAUUCUUUAGAAAACAAGUUUAUCUCCAACUUCAAGUAGGCAUAGAGAGAUAUAACACACAACAUCAGAAAUGCUUUGUGGGAGAUUGGGCAUGCUGGUGCUAUGUGGUUUUGAGAAAGCUAACUAACCAUCAAAAGAGGAGGCAGUCAUUUCUUUCUUGCGUCUUUGGUUCUCGGAUUUGCCUGUGUAACUCAUCAAGUGCAAGAGGCCUCCAAGUACAAGGCCCUUCACUGUCAUGAAAAACAGGAAGUCUUUGUUUGAAGAUUUAGAAGCACAUUGCUAAUACAAGUAAGAGGUGUUAAGAAGCUUCACAUCUCAGGCAUUGACAACUUCCAGAUUGCACAGUAUUAGUUGUGUCCCUAUGAAGCCAAAUUCCUCUGCUUCCACAAUUCUGUAAGUUCCAUGCUUCGGUCAAUAACUUGAGUUAUUUAAUGAUUAAAUAAAUUGGGGUAUUGGUAAACUGACAGAAUUGGGUAUACCCAGUUAGUGUGAUUAGGCAAAUAUGGAUUUUUUGCAUCCAUGUACUGCUAAUAGAGUAACUGAGCUUCCCUGGUUUAAAGAUGAAGUUCUUAUCAACUUCAUUCAUGGUCUUUUGGAUGUAAAGGUGAUAAUCUUUUUUUCUUCAUUACUUCUAUUUGUAAAAAUUUGUUUUUGUGUUCAGUGGAAGAGUUUGAUCUGGUCAUUCUGUGCAUGCUCUUUUUUUCGUGUUAAGAUUUAUUGGUAUGAGGGCCUGGAUUUGUGUUUUGUUGUUAAUACAGACUUUCAUGAUUGGUACAUGGCCUUUUUUUUUUUCUCUCUCUCUCUCUCUCUCAAUUUGCAGGAAGUGAAUGGAAAAGAAAUUUGAAGAAAUUCAAAUUUCUUUUGGUACUGUAUACUGUAAACAAUGACGAAUUAAAUAAGCAAUACCUGAUCCAACAAUAUCAUGAAACUCAUAAACUUAAAUAAAAAUACCAGUACAUAAAAAAAGGACUGAUGAUAAAGACUUCAGAGUUCAGACCAAAAGAGAAAAAAAGGAUAAGGUCUGAAACUUUGAUGGAUGAAAUAGAUGGAAGCGCAUUACUCAGAGCAAUGCUAAGAUAAGCAAGGAGGCUGGAGGAGAGUUUAAUAUUUUUGAUGGGUCGGUGAUGGGUUAGAAUUUGGAGUUGCAUUGUACAGAAUUGGAGAUUUGGAAGUUGGCUAGAUGGGAUUCAGUCAACAGUAUAGUUAUAUUGUUGUGUUGUUGGUUGGUAUUGUGAUUUGUGGAUUGAGUUUGGUUUGUUUGGUUUCGCGGGUGCUUACUCUUGAGGAGCCUGAACGUGGUCUUCGCAUCGUCAAGCUAACCCAUGUGGAUGUUCUGAAGAAGACAGUGGCAGUGCAUCACAUCCAACAGCAAAUGAAGCUUCCACUAACACAAAAGAGAACUUCCAAGUAGAUGAACUAAUGGAUGACACUGAUGAAGAUCUCAUGUAAUGAUUGGUUCGAACUUCGAAUGUAGAACAUUUUGCUAAGCACUAACCAUAUUUGUCAGUUGUAUAUAAACAUCUUGGGUGCCACAUUUUUCUUUUGGUCAAUGGAAUAGCCAAUUUUUGAAACUGUAAAAUGUGAAUGAUAAAUUUGGUUAAAACA